CGAAAGCCUGACGGAGCAACGCCGCGUGUGGGAAGAAGGCUCUUGGGCUGUCAACCACUUUUCUCAGGGAAGAAGUUCUGACGGUACCUGAGGAAUCAGCCUCGGCUAACUCCGUGCCAGCAGCCGCGGUAAUACGGAGGAGGCAAGCGUUAUCCGGAAUUAUUGGGCGUAAAGCGUCCGCAGGUGGCCAUUUAAGUCUGCUGUCAAAGACCGGGGCUCAACUCCGGGUCGGCAGUGGAAACUGGAUGGCUAGAGUACGGUAGGGGUAGAGGGAAUUCCCGGUGUAGCGGUGAAAUGCGUAGAGAUCGGGAAGAACAUCGGUGGCGAAAGCGCUCUACUGGACGGCAACUGACACUCAGGGACGAAAGCUAGGGGAGCG
rnacentral:rRNA from 1 species